rnacentral:rRNA from 1 species
UACAGAGGGGGCAAGCGUUGUUCGGAAUUACUGGGCGUAAAGGGCGCGUAGGCGGCCCUCUAAGUCGAACGUGAAAUCCCCGGGCUCAACCCGGGAACUGCGUCCGAUACUGGAAGGCUUGAAUCCGGGAGAGGGAUGCGGAAUUCCAGGUGUAGCGGUGAAAUGCGUAGAUAUCUGGAGGAACACCGGUGGCGAAGGCGGCAUCCUGGACCGGCAUUGACGCUGAGACACGAAAGCGUGGGUAGCAAACAGG